rnacentral:tRNA from 1 species
AGUACCGUAGUUCAAAGGCUAGAGCAUCCGGUUGUCUCCCGGAAAGGUAUGGGUUCGAGUCCCAUCGGUACUGCGA